UUAUAAUUUAUUUUAAUUGUAGAAAUAAAAUUAAUCAAAAUUUUAUCGAAUAUCAUGUUGGAAGAAAUAACUGAUAAAUUAGGAUUUUUUAAGCUGAUUUAUGGCAUGAGCAUUUGGGAUGAUGGUUUUUUGGCAUCGCAUGUAGAGAUUGUACUGGAAUAGAAAAAUGGAUCACCUAAGUGCCUGAAAACUUAGGGUUAUACGUACAAUGAUCGAGACAAGGCAGACGAAUCGACUGCUAGAUUUGUAAUUACCCGAUUAAAGGAGAG
rnacentral:lncRNA from 1 species